rnacentral:rRNA from 1 species
GGCUCAGGACGAACGCUGGCGGCGCGCUUAACACAUGCAAGUCGAACGGUGAACCGGGCUUCGGCCCGGGGAUCAGUGGCGAACGGGUGCGUAACACGUGGGCAACCUGCCCCUCACUCUGGGAUAACCCCGGGAAACCGGAGCUAAUACCGGAUACUCCGAACGGUCCGCAUGGCCCGAUCGGGAAAGGUCCGCCGGUGAGGGAUGGGCCCGCGGCCUAUCAGCUUGUUGGUGAGGUAACGGCUCACCAAGGCGACGACGGGUAGCUGGUCUGAGAGGACGACCAGCCACACUGGGACUGAGAUACGGCCCAGACUCCUACGGGAGGCAGCAGUGGGGAAUCUUGCGCAAUGGGCGAAAGCCUGACGCAGCGACGCCGCGUGGGGGAUGAAGGCCCUCGGGUUGUAAACCCCUUUCGGCAGGGACGAAGCGGUUCCGUGACGGUACCUGCAGAAGAAGCCUCGGCUAACUACGCGCCAGCAGCCGCGGUAAGACGUAGGAGGCGAGCGUUGUCCGGAUUCAUUGGGCGUAAAGAGCACGCAGGCGGUUCGGCAAGUCGGUUGUGAAAUCCCAGGGCUCAACCCUGGGACUGCGUCCGAAACUGCCGGACUAGAGGUAGGUAGGGGAGAUCGGAAUUCCUGGUGUAGCGGUGAAAUGCGCAGAUAUCAGGAGGAACACCGGUGGCGAAGGCGGAUCUCUGGGCCUUACCUGACGCUCAGGUGCGAAAGCUAGGGGAGCGAACAGGAUUAGAUACCCUGGUAGUCCUAGCCGUAAACGUUGGGUGCUAGGUGUGGGCGGACAUCAACCCCGUCCGUGCCGAAGCUAACGCAUUAAGCACCCCGCCUGGGGAGUACGGCCGCAAGGCUAAAACUC